rnacentral:pre_miRNA from 1 species
AAAAAGUCAAACCCUGGGUUUUCGUGUCUAACUUUGACUGUCCGUCUUAUAUGAAAUUUUUUUAUAAUUUGUAUUUUUGUUGUUGUUAGAUGAUAAAACAUGAUUAAUAUUUUAUGCGUGACUUGUCUUUUUAAUUUUUUUCAUAAUUUUUUUAAAUAAGACGGACGGUCAAAUGUUGGAUACGGAAACCAGGGUUUGUCUUUUU